UGAACGCUGGCUGCAUGCUUUACACAUGCAAGUCGAACGGUAACAGGAAGGUCUUCUGAUCUUUGGUGACGAGUGGCGAACGGGUGAGUAAUACAUCGGAACGUGCCUAGUAGUGGGGGAUAACUACUGGAAAGAGUAGCUAAUACCGCAUGAGAUCUACGGAUGAAAGCAGGGGAUCUUCGGGCCUUGUGCUAUUAGAGCGGCUGAUGUCAGAUUAGGUAGUUGGUGGGGUAAAGGCUCACCAAGCCUGCGAUCCGUAGCUGGUCUGAGAGGAUGACCAGCCACACUGGGACUGAGACACGGUCCAGACUCCUACGGGAGGCAGCAGUGGGGAAUUUUGGACAAUGGGCGCAAGCCUGAUCCAGCAAUGCCGCGUGCAGGAAGAAGGCCUUCGGGUUGUAAAGUGCUUUUGUUGGGAACGAAAAGCCUGGGGCUAAUAUCCCCGGGUCAUGACGGUACCCUAAGAAUAAGCACCGGCUAACUACGUGCCAGCAGCCGCGGUAAUACGUAGGGUGCAAGCGUUAAUCGGGAUUACUGGGCGUAAAGCGUGCGCAGGCGGUUUUGUAAGUCAGUGGUGAAAUCCCCGGGCUCAACCUGGGAACUGCCAUUGUGACUGCAAGGCUAGAGUGCGGCAGAGGGGGAUGGAAUUCCGCGUGUAGCAGUGAAAUGCGUAGAUAUGCGGAGGAACAUCGAUGGCGAAGGCAGUCCCCUGGGCCUGCACUGACGCUCAUGCACGAAAGCGUGGGGAGCAAACAGGAUUAGAUACCCUGGUAGUCCACGCCCUAAACGAUGUCAACUGGUUGUUGGGUCCUUAACGGACUCAGUAACGAACUAACGCGUGAAGUUGACCCCCUGGGGAGUACGGCCGCAAGGUUGAAACUCAAAGGAAUUUACGGGGACCCCCACAAACGGGGGAUGAUGUGGUUUAAUUUUAUGCAACGCGAAAAACCUUUCCCACCUUUGACAUGGCAGGAACUUUCCAGAGAUGGUUUGGUGUCUAAAGAAACCUGCACACAGGUGCUGCAUGGCUGUCGUCAGCUCGUGUCGUGAGAUGUUGGGUUAUGUCCCGCAACGAGCGCACCCCUUGCCUUUAUUUGCUAGCAUUUUAGGUUGAGCACUCUAAUGGGACUGCCGGUGACAAACCGGAGGAAGGUGGGGAUGACGUCAAGUCCUCAUGGCCCUUAUAGGUGGGGCUACACACGUCAUACAAUGGCUGGUACCAAGGGUUGCCAACCCGCGAGGGGGAGCUAAUCCCAUAAAGCCCGUCGUAUUCCGGAUUGGAGUCUGCAACUCCACUGCUUGAAGUCGGAAUCCCUAGUAAUCGUGGAUCAUAAUGUCUCGGUGAAUACGUUCCCGGGUCUUGUACACACCGCCCGUCACACCAUGGGAGCGGGUCUCGCCAGAAAUAGGUAGCCUAACCGUAAGGAGGGCGCUUACCACGGCGGGGUUCCUGACUGGGGUGA
rnacentral:rRNA from 1 species